AUUGAACGCUGGCGGCAGGCUUAACACAUGCAAGUCGAGCGGAGAUGAGGUGCUUGCACCUUAUCUUAGCGGCGGACGGGUGAGUAAUGCUUAGGAAUCUGCCUAUUAGUGGGGGACAACAUUCCGAAAGGAAUGCUAAUACCGCAUACGUCCUACGGGAGAAAGCAGGGGAUCUUCGGACCUUGCACUAAUAGAUGAGCCUCAGUCGGAUUAGCUAGUUGGUGGGGUAAAGGCCUACCAAGGCGACGAUCUGUAGCGGGUCUGAGAGGAUGAUCCGCCACACUGGGACUGAGACACGGCCCAGACUCCUACGGGAGGCAGCAGUGGGGAAUAUUGGACAAUGGGGGGAACCCUGAUCCAGCCAUGCCGCGUGUGUGAAGAAGGCCUUAUGGUUGUAAAGCACUUUAAGCGAGGAGGAGGCUACUGAGACUAAUACUCUUGGAUAGUGGACGUUACUCGCAGAAUAAGCACCGGCUAACUCUGUGCCAGCCGCCGCAGUAA
rnacentral:rRNA from 1 species